AAACCAUCAAUAAUAAAACAAUAUACCAAAACUAAAGAAAUAAAAGCAAAGAAAAUAAAAUGAAAACAAAAAAGUCCAAUAAGAAUGGGAAAGGAAAUGUAACCAGGGAAUUGAUCUCCACCCUUUUGAAGCUGCCUUAAAGGUCCUCCACUGCACCACAAAAAGCUUUCACAAAAAGUUGUUCAUUCAUUUGUGCACGUGCCUCUUUGUCCCACUCCUUUUUUCUUUGUUCCCUUAUGUUCUCUUUUCGAAAUUUGAUUUUUCUCCUCUUUUUUUCUGUUCCCUUAUGCUCUCCUCCCGAAGUUCAAUUCUCUUCAUCUUUUCUUGAAUACAAGGUGCAUAUUUAUAUACACACAUUUGUAAUAUUAUUGUGAUCUUGCCUUAAUGGCGAAUUAAUAGUCAAUUAGCAAAAUAGGGAAAUAAAUGGUCUUGAUUGAAGAAAAAUAAAUCAAAUUAAAAUCAUAUUUUUCUCUUUAGGAAGAAAUUGAAUACAACAAUCAAUAUAUUAUUUUUAAUUAUUUCUUGUAAUGAUUGCCAUAAUGUUGAUUCGAAUUAUUACCAAAUAAAACAAAAUUUUGAAAAUAUUCUAAAGUGAUCUUUCAUGCAUGCAUUAAUAUUAAUUGCUUAUGGGCCUACUGCACCAUUUAUCCAAGAAAAUCACGUGGAACAUCUCUCCCAUUUAAUCACCAUUCUUUUCUUUUCAUUUUAUUCACGUGCACCCCUUUUUUUCUUUUUUCCUUCCUUUCUUUUUUCCUUUUGGUUUUCUUUUUCCUUUUUUCUUCUUUUGUUUUUUUUUUUUAUUUUUCUUUUCUCUUUUAUUCUUUUUCUCUUUUUUUUUUCUUUUUUUAUAUCUUUUUUCCUCUUCUUCUUUUUUUCUUAUUUCCCUUUUUUUCCGUUUUUCAUGUUCUUUUUUUUCUUUUCUUUUUCCUUUUUUU
rnacentral:lncRNA from 1 species